ACGGGUAGCCGGCCUGAGAGGGUGACCGGCCACACUGGGACUGAGACACGGCCCAGACUCCUACGGGAGGCAGCAGUGGGGAAUAUUGCACAAUGGGCGAAAGCCUGAUGCAGCAACGCCGCGUGAGGGAUGACGGCCUUCGGGUUGUAAACCUCUUUUAGUAGGGAAGAAGCGAAAGUGACGGUACCUGCAGAAAAAGCACCGGCUAACUACGUGCCAGCAGCCGCGGUAAUACGUAGGGUGCAAGCGUUGUCCGGAAUUAUUGGGCGUAAAGAGCUCGUAGGCGGUUUGUCGCGUCUGCUGUGAAAUCCCGAGGCUCAACCUCGGGCUUGCAGUGGGUACGGGCAGACUAGAGUGCGGUAGGGGAGAUUGGAAUUCCUGGUGUAGCGGUGGAAUGCGCAGAUAUCAGGAGGAACACCGAUGGCGAAGGCAGAUCUCUGGGCCGUAACUGACGCUGAGGAGCGAAAGCGUGGGGAGCGA
rnacentral:rRNA from 1 species